GAUGAACGCUAGCGGCAGGCUUAACACAUGCAAGUCGAGGGGCAGCGCGAUGUAGCAAUACAUUGGCGGCGACCGGCGCACGGGUGCGUAACACGUAUGGAACUUACCCUUUACUGGGAGAUAGCCCGGAGAAAUCCGGAUUAAUAUCCCAUAAUAAACGAGGUGGCAUCACUUUGUUUGAAAGCUCCGGCGGUAAAGGAUGGCCAUGCGCACGAUUAGCUAGUAGGUGAGGUAACGGCUCACCUAGGCUACGAUCGUUAGGGGGGCCUGAGAGGGUUAUCCCCCACACUGGUACUGAGACACGGACCAGACUCCUACGGGAGGCAGCAGUGAGGAAUAUUGCGCAAUGGAGGCAACUCUGACGCAGCCAUGCCGCGUGCAGGAAGAAGGCGCUACGCGUUGUAAACUGCUUUUAACCGGGAAGAAACCCCAGGACGUGUCCUGGGUUGACGGUACCGGAGGAAUAAGCACCGGCUAACUUCGUGCCAGCAG
rnacentral:rRNA from 1 species